AGUGAACGCUGGCGGUAGGCCUAACACAUGCAAGUCGAACGGCAGCACAGUAAGAGCUUGCUCUUACGGGUGGCGAGUGGCGGACGGGUGAGGAAUACAUCGGAAUCUACUUUUUCGUGGGGGAUAACGUAGGGAAACUUACGCUAAUACCGCAUACGACCUACGGGUGAAAGCAGGGGAUCUUCGGACCUUGCGCGAUUGAAUGAGCCGAUGUCGGAUUAGCUAGUUGGCGGGGUAAAGGCCCACCAAGGCGACGAUCCGUAGCUGGUCUGAGAGGAGGGUAGGCCGCCGGAGAAGGUGAGCAGGGACAAGGGCACUGAGGUACGGCCCAGAGGGCAAUGGUAGACAGUAGGGGGGAAUAUUAUACAGUGGUCGGAAGCCUGAGGAAGCAGCGCUGCGUUUGUGAAGACGGUCUGCGGGGUGAAAACAGCAGCCGCCUGAUACCCAGCGGUAGUGACGGUACCCAAUAAAGAAGCACCGGCUAACUACGUG
rnacentral:rRNA from 1 species